UACGAAGGGGGCUAGCGUUGCUCGGAAUCACUGGGCGUAAAGCGCACGUAGGCGGAUUGUUAAGUCAGGGGUGAAAUCCCGGAGCUCAACUCCGGAACUGCCUUUGAUACUGGCGAUCUUGAGUCCGGGAGAGGUGAGUGGAACUGCGAGUGUAGAGGUGAAAUUCGUAGAUAUUCGGAAGAACACCAGUGGCGAAGGCGGCUCACUGGACUGGUAUUGACGCUGAGGUGCGAAAGCGUGGGGAGCAAACAGG
rnacentral:rRNA from 1 species